GAAAGAUUCAUCGGAAGAGGAUGGGCAUGCGGCGCAUUAGCUAGACGGCGGGGUAACGGCCCACCGUGGCGACGAUGCGUAGGGGUUCUGAGAGGAAGGUCCCCCACACUGGUACUGAGACACGGACCAGACUCCUACGGGAGGCAGCAGUGAGGAAUAUUGGUCAAUGGGAGAGAUCCUGAACCAGCCAAGCCGCGUGAGGGAAAACGGCCCUAUGGGUUGUAAACCUCUUUUGUCGGAGAACAAAACCCGGGACGUGUCCCGGACUGCGUGUAUCCGAAGAAAAAGCAUCGGCUAACUCCGUGCCAGCAGCCGCGGUAAUACGGAGGAUGCGAGCGUUAUCCGGAUUUAUUGGGUUUAAAGGGUGCGUAGGCGGUCCGUUAAGUCAGCGGUAAAAUUGCGGGGCUCAACCCCGUCGAGCCGUUGAAACUGGCAGACUUGAGUUGGCGAGAAGUACGCGGAAUGCGCGGUGUAGCGGUGAAAUGCAUAGAUAUCGCGCAGAACUCCGAUUGCGAAGGCAGCGUACCGGCGCCAGACUGACGCUGAGGCACGAAAGCGUGGGGAUCGAACAGGAUUAGAUACCCUGGUAGUCCACGCAGUAAACGAUGAAUGCUGGUUGUCCGGGUCGAAUGAGAUCUGG
rnacentral:rRNA from 1 species